ACUGAAAGCGUGUGGACCUGAGAAGUAAACGUCCACGAACAUCCACUGACAAAUGACGUGGUGCUGGCAAACAUAGUCCCUUAUGUAUAGAGGUUUUUGGGAAACCCUGUACAUACAAGAAUCUACAGCAGGGGUAUCCAAAGUCUGGCCCAGGGCCAAAUGUGGGCCACAGUUUCUCUAUUAAACCCAAUUUCUAUCCUGGUGAAGCCCUUUAGAAAAGUAUGUCACCAGAGCACAAACUAAAGCAGAGAGACUCAAUCGUGACUCAAAGUUUGAGCAGGUAAAAAUGGAAAAUGGCCACUCCAGGGGGUCUGGCUUUGUGCACUCCUCAUCUUCCCAGGAAGUCAGGAAGGCCAAGAAUGAGAUGAAUGGCAGGAUUUGUGGCAGGAAUCCAGUGUGUGUUGGUGUGACUCAGUGCAAAGAGGAACGCCCGGCUUGCCUUGCCGAUCAGAACAUGCAGAGGACGGCGAGCAUGCAGGUUAACACCAUAUACAACUUCUACCAACCUGUACCAGUUAAAGGGGUCCCUAGCUGCAGAAAGUUUGAGCAGCCCCUUUAGAUACCCCAAGUUACCACAAGAGGCUAUACUGCUAGGUGGAUAGAAUAACUAACUGCCCCUGUGAUUCUGCUCUGAAACAAGGAAUGAAAUAACAUGUUUAACGUGUGUGUGUGUGUGUGUGUGUGUGUGUGUGUGUGUGUGUGUGUGUGUGUGUUGUGUUACAGACUCAGAACCUGAAUCUGCACAAUGUGAGUUAUAGCUGUCUGGUUGUAUAUCAGUGUUACAUUUGUUACACAGUGUGUGUGUGUUCCAGUCUCUCCAUAGCUGUGUCACAUACUACUGUACUAUUGCAUACUAUUGUACUAAAUAGUGACUUAGCUUGCUAGAUCAGGGUUUAGCAGCCAGGUCACUUUGACUGAACCACCCCUUGAGGCUACUGAAUGCUAGAGUACAUAAUGUUUUUCAAAACAGACAGGGUAUUUAUCUGGGUAAAUACCCUUAAGCAAUCAGUGUUAGUUUCCAAUGUGCUGUUUAUCUGACUGUUUCCAGUUGAUGCUACUGUACUAAAUAUCAUGUAAACAGGGAGUUUGGCACCUACUUGUAAGCUAUGGCACUAUAUUAUAUAGAAUGGUUGGACACGGUUUGAGACGCAGCUACAGAUAUGGCUUUUAUGUAACAGUUGAACAUUUGAGCCAGUUACAGUAGAUAACAGUUUUUUUGAUUAGUUUUCACCACAAAUGUACUUGCAUAGCAGGAUAUGGUUUAGGACAAAGCCUGUAACUAUGUCUUUGUUUGGUGCUUUUUUCUUUAAGCAGAUGUCCAGAGUAUGCCCGAUCUGGUUGAACCUGCACUGCGUCAGCAGACCACUGGCACCAUCACACCAUCAAGCAGUCAGGUGCCGUGUGUGACUGUAGAGUGUACAAGUGUAACUACAGCAACAUCUGUAGAUACUGUUCUAGUGGCAGACUCCGUGUUGGCUGUAGAAAAGUAUUUAGUAGUAGACAGUGUCCCAGCUGAACAUACAGUUCCAUCAGUAGAAGGUGUCCCAGAUGUCGACACUGUUCCAGCUGUAGAUAGUGUCCCAGUUCUAGUUACAGUUGCAGAUGAGCUUUCAGCUCAAGCUCUAGAUGCAGAUGUUACAUGUCUACCUUCUACAUCUAUGGUAUCUGAAAGUGAUUUGCAGCAGGACAAGGACACAACGGUAAGAGCAAAACACACACAUACACAAUAUUCUGCAUGCUUAAUAUUACAAUAUAUCAUAUAAGUGAGUAAUGAUAGUGGUCUAGUUGUGUGAUUAUAAUUUUGAUGAUAGUAAUAAUAACAAUAAUAGUAAUAAUAAUAGUAAUAAUAAUCUCCAAUGUUCUUAGGAUGUAUCAAUGUGUCCAGCAGCUGAAAAGUGUCUGACCAUUUACAUGUUGUAGUCCGCUCCGGUAGAUGACCAGAUCCAGAUGGCGCAUG
ensembl:lncRNA